ACUGACACCAUCAUCUUGUCCCCUGGUCCCCAGAGUGCGAGCCCUGUUGCUGAGGGAAUAGAAGCCCCGGUCCCGGCAAGAGGACAUGCUGGUCCCGACACAUAUGGACGCUUGCCGUGCGUGCCACCCCCAGGUGCUUGGGUGAGAGAGCCCCCCCCCCCCCCCGCCGCCCCCGCGGGAUCGUUCGGGGGCAGCCGGGUGAAAACGGGAGGGACGGAGAAGGAGACGACGGGGCGGAGAAGCGGGCGGCCGAGGCGGCAGCUGUUUCCUGUCAGUGACCCUACGGCAUGAUGGUUAGGCUCUAUGAGGCGGCCUGUCACUCCCC
ensembl:lncRNA